rnacentral:rRNA from 1 species
UACGGAGGAUCCAAGCGUUAUCCGGAUUUAUUGGGUUUAAAGGGUGCGUAGGCGGAUUGAUAAGUUAGAGGUGAAAUGUCCGAGCUCAACUCGGGAACUGCCUCUAAUACUGUUGAUCUAGAGAGUAGAUGCGGUAGGCGGAAUGCGUGGUGUAGCGGUGAAAUGCAUAGAUAUCACGCAGAACUCCGAUUGCGAAGGCAGCAUACCGGCGCCCUACUGACGCUGAGGCUCGAAAGCGUGGGGAGCAAACAGG